CACGGCGACCUGGGGUGGGUCAGGAGGUGCAGCGGGCUGACCUCCGGGCGUCUCCUCCUUCAGGCGGAGUUGCAGAGGCUAAGGAGCGAGGAGGAGGUGGUGCUGGGCGGCCAGGAGAAGGAGCGCCUGCUGGAGGCACUGCGGGCCCUUGAGCGGGACCUGACGGAGAACCAGGUGGAGCUGCAGAGCCUGCAGGCGCGGUACUCGGAGCUGGGCCACGCCCAGUCCCAGCGCCUCCUGGAGGAGACGGCGCGCCACGCCCAGGAGAUGGAGGCGGAGACGGGCCGGCUGCGGGCCGCCGGACUGCAGGCGGAGCGGGCCCUGGAGACCCGGGAGAAAGGCCCACCGCCAGCGGGUCAAGGGCCUGGAGGGCCAGGUUCUGACGCUGAAGGAGCAGCUCGAUGAGGACGUGAGGCGGCGCCAGGCCCGGAGCCACAAGGUCCUGGGGUCCAAACACUGACCCGGCAGCAGGUCCUGGGGUCCAGACACUGACCCGGCAGCAGGUCCUGGGGUCCAGACACUGACCCGGCAGCAGGUCCUGGGGUCCAAACCGGACAGUCAUCGUUUAUCCCACAAGGUGGGACUUAACACUUAUCCAGCACUAUGCUGGGGUCCACACCCCCAAGGUGCAAGAGUUCAAAUCCAGCUCUUAGCUUCAAUCCUUCAAGGUUCUAGCUCUCUAACUCAACUCUAAUCAGAGCUGGGGUUGAAUCCACUAUGGUGCUGGGACUCGACCCCAGCUCUCUUUCUCAGUCAAUACAAAAGAUGAUGAUUCAAACCCAACUCCUCACUGUGAUCCCAGAAGGGGCCAUGGGUUCCAACCAUAGAUAUGUAUAGAGCACUAGAUGGCUCGUCCGCGCUGCUGGCCAAUGGAGUCCAACGUCACCACUGGCGGCCAUCUUGCCACAGUCAGCCACUCACCCAUAGCAUUGUGUUGGUAGUGGUACAUGUACCUUUUAAAUAACCAUAACUUGCUCAAUUUCAAACCGAUUUUCAAACGGUUUGGUUUAUUAUAAACGUCAGAGAUGAGGUUAUGACACUGCAUACUUAUGAAUAAUUAUGUUAGGUUCUAGAAAAAUAGAAUAAUGUUCUAAAAUAGGUACAAGAUUAUAACCAAGAAGAAGAAGAUGGCCGCCUGUGAUGAUGUUCUAGACAUCUAGUGUUCUAUCUAUGGUUCCAUAAGUCAUCUUACAGGCUGCUGGGCCCUGAACCAAACUGUUAUGUUCUCAAAUAAGGUGCUGAAGUUCAAGCCCACACAUUCCUUGGGUCCGAACCUGACGUUGUUCCAACAAGGUGCUCGUGUCCAAACCCAGCUCUCAACUCGUUGGACCCACUUUAUUCCCUCACAUAUUCAGAUACAGUUGACCAGGGUCCAUACUGUUCUCACAGCCUCUAAAACGGUUUCAGAUAAUAAAUAGAAAUAGAAAUACUGCAUUUUGGUGAU
rnacentral:lncRNA from 1 species